rnacentral:rRNA from 1 species
ACUGACACAGGUGCUGCAUGGCUGUCGUCAGCUCGUGUCGUGAGAUGUUGGGUUAAGUCCCGUAACGAGCGCAACCCUUGCCUUUAGUUGCCAGCAGUUCGGCUGGGCACUCUAAAGGGACUGCCGGUGUUAAACCGGAGGAAGGUGGGGAUGACGUCAAGUCCUCAUGGCCUUUAUGACCAGGGCUACACACGUACUACAAUGGCCGAUACAAAGGGCAGCGACACUGCGAGGUGAAGCCAAUCCCGUAAAAAUCGGUCUCAGUCCGGAUUGGAGUCUGCAACUCGACUCCAUGAAGUUGGAAUCGCUAGUAAUCGCGCAUCAGCCAUGGCGCGGUGAAUACGUUCCCGGGCCUU